rnacentral:rRNA from 1 species
CCAAAAGCUGGCGACCGGCGCACGGGUGAGUAACACGUAUCCAGCCUGCCUCAUACUCGGGGAUAGCCUUUCGAAAGAAAGAUUAAUAUCCGAUAGCAUAUAUUUCCCGCAUGGGUUUUAUAUUAAAGAAAUUCGGUAUGAGAUGGGGAUGCGUUCCAUUAGUUUGUUGGGGGGGUAACGGCCCACCAAGACUACGAUGGAUAGGGGUUCUGAGAGGAAGGUCCCCCACAUUGGAACUGAGACACGGUCCAA